rnacentral:rRNA from 1 species
UUACGGAAGGCGGCAGUGAGGAAUUUUGGACAAUGGGGGCAACCCUGAUCCAGCCAUGCCGCGUGAGUGAAGAAGGCCUUCGGGUUGUAAAGCUCUUUCAGCCGGGAAGAAAACGCACUCUCUAACAUAGGGUGUGGAUGACGGUACCGGAAGAAGAAGCACCGGCUAACUACGUGCCAGCAGCCGCGGUAAUACGUAGGGUGCGAGCGUUAAUCGGAAUUACUGGGCGUAAAGGGUGCGCAGGCGGUUUUGUAAGACAGAUGUGAAAUCCCCGGGCUUAACCUGGGAACUGCGUUUGUGACUGCAAGGCUAGAGUACGGCAGAGGGGGGUGGAAUUCCGCGUGUAGCAGUGAAAUGCGUAGAUAUGCGGAGGAACACCGAUGGCGAAGGCAACCCCCUGGGCCUGUACUGACGCUCAUGCACGAAAGCGUGGGGAGCAAACAGGAUUAGAAACCCUAGUAGUCCU